rnacentral:tRNA from 1 species
CAUUAAGAAGCUAAUCAGCACUAACCUUUUAAGUUAGAGAAUGGGAGUUUAAACCUCUCCUUAAUGA